AACGCCGCGUGGGUGAAGAAGGCUCUUGGGUCGUAAAGCCCUUUCGGUUGGAAAGAAGUUAUCUGUGACGAAUAAUCACAGGUCGCGACGGUACCAGCAUAAGAAGCACCGGCUAAUUUCGUGCCAGCACCUUCGGUGACUGAGCGGGCUGGCAAGGCGCAUA
rnacentral:rRNA from 1 species